rnacentral:rRNA from 1 species
GACGAACGCUGGCGGCGUGCCUAAUACAUGCAAGUAGAACGCACAGUUUAUACCGUAGCUUGCUACUCCAUAGACUGUGAGUUGCGAACGGGUGAGUAACGCGUAGGUAACCUGCCUGGUAGCGGGGGAUAACUAUUGGAAACGAUAGCUAAUACCGCAUAAUAUUAAUUAUUGCAUGAUAAUUAAUUGAAAGGUGCAAUUGCACCACUACCAGAUGGACCUGCGUUGUAUUAGCUAGUAGGUGAGGUAACGGCUCACCUAGGCGACGAUACAUAGCCGACCUGAGAGGGUGAUCGGCCACACUGGGACUGAGACACGGCCCAGACUCCUACGGGAGGCAGCAGUAGGGAAUCUUCGGCAAUGGACGAAAGUCUGACCGAGCAACGCCGCGUGAGUGAAGAAGGUUUUCGGAUCGUAAAGCUCUGUUGUAAGAGAAGAACGGGUGUGAGAGUGGAAAGUUCACACUGUGACGGUAUCUUACCAGAAAGGGACGGCUAACUACGUG